rnacentral:lncRNA from 1 species
GGAGAAAAAAGACUGAUCAUAAGAAAACUAGAAGUAGUGUAGUUCUUUACAAUAUAUGUUUUUAUUAUCCACAAGCAAGGAUGAUACCUAGUGCAGUGCAGAAAUAUAUGAUCAAGCCUGAGUUCCGGUCAAAGCCUUCAUCUGUAUAUGAUUGGAGUCAGCAGUGUUGGGGUUGGGCAGUGCCUCAUAAGAGCCAAAUCUCCUGAUACCAACAGUUUUAGCAACAGCAGCAUAAGUAACAAUCACGACGAGCAACACAAACAGCACAUGGAGCACAAAGACCAAGUCGAGGAUAGCGACAGCCCUGAGCUUAGAAUCCUCGAGAUCACACUUGGUAGAUCCCUCAACUCCAGUCACAACAUCCAACAGCUUAUGACAACCAUCAGGUAUGAAAGCAUCAACGUAGAGCGAAAGUCCCGUCUGUAGUACCCACAGACCCUGUAGACACACCGAACCCGCGAGCGCCACGUCAGCGAGGAAAAGCCUGGGUUGAAAGGCGAUGAGGAGACAGAGAAGAGAGGAGAGUAAGGAAAUGUUAGCGGAAACGGAAUCGCACUUGGCUUGAAGAUCGGAGGUCUGAACGGAGGCGGAGUUUGAGGAGACGGAGUAGUGGAGGUAGAAAAGUGCGGAUGCUAGGGCAAAAAAGAGAUCGGGAGGGAGCGGGAGGAGCGAAGUUGACUCGGAGAUAAGGAGAACGAGGGUUAAGAGGAGGAAAGAGAAAAUGACGGCAGCGGCUUGGAGAGAGGUGAAGCGGUGGACAGGAGUGCGGCCUUUGAGGAGAGGAUCGGCGUCGAAAGAGAUAAAGGAUUGGUGGAUUAAGGAGAUGAGGAGGAGGCAGAGGAGGAGGAGAUAUAAAGGGAGGUGGCGGAGACGGGAGGAGAAGGCGGAGAUGGGGUGGUAGGGUUUGGCGGUGUAGUCACCACGAGGAGAUUUGAGGUGGUGGUUUCGGGUGGUGGAAAUGAGGUGGUAGAGUCCGAGGGAUAGCAGUGCAGACGAGGAGAACAUGUGAUACAUCAGGGUUGCCAUUGCUGCAC